AUGAGUGGGAAAUACUGUUGACCCUGACCCAGCACUUCCUUUUGGGUCAAGCCGUCAGGAGCAGGUGAAUGCUGGAAGAAAGUUGACAGAAAGCUAGAUACAAGCCAAACUUAGGUGAUAGAAACCUUAUUAUUAUCAGUAAUAACUCUCAUCUACUCUAAAACGCUGAGCUGGUGGAGCCAAGACGCAGUUUGUGGUGAAUGAGGAGCUUAUUAGCCUGAUACACAGAGGUUUUUUUGCAUCGGUCAGGUUUUUUGACUAGAGUUCGAAUUGGAUUCCCUCGUUCCUACGUUUGAUGGCGAGCCUCCCUGGACUUCGACCCUGAAAGCUGUUUGCAAGUACUGUGGACAACUCUGAUCUGUGAAACCCCUUUUUUCCCUUAUUGCUGAACCUUUAUUCAUCUUCAGAGCGGUAGGAGAAAUACUCACCAUGCCAUAGACUGGACUCUUUGCACAUACCCACACUUCAAACUCCAACUCCCACCUGUUAAAAAACAAAAGAAAAAAAGAACUUUAUAUUGUUGUGGUUUUGAUAUAUGUAUAUUGUGUUAUAAUUUUAAUUGAACUUAAUUCUUGAAUUUACUAAAUCUAACUAAUAUUCUUAGUGAAAAAGGGAUAUUCUGAUAUUGAUACUGAGGUUGAUAUUGAUAUUUUGCAUAUAUAAAUAUAUUAUUAUUAUAGAUUUUCCUACCCGGGUAGUAGUAAUAUAAAUAGUAUCACAUACAACAACAUCGGGGAAAGAUAAUAUUGGUAUUAUUCAUAUUGAAUAUUCUAUAUCUUUUGUUUAUUAUUUUCUUUUAUUAUAAUAGUAUUAUAAUAGUAUUCGUACUUACCUUUUCAAUAAAUGGAGGCUUCCACUAAGCUCCAAAUUCCA